ACGAAUUAUUUUUAGAAGGAGAGGUGAAUACGCGUGUUGUGCUGUGACAGGGCAGCGUUUGUGUCGAAGAAGCUCUGGAUAGACUCGCAGUUCCUCAGCGAAGACGCUCCGCAGACAGACAGACGGAUGGAGUGGGAUGAUGAGGUGGAAAAAGCUGUUCUGAUAGUCCUGACAGGAGACCCAUGACUCACACUUCUCAGCAGGCGGGAAGGAACGCGCUCCGCCACAACCAGCUCUUCAAAAGGUGUCAUGCUGGAAAACAAAGAUGGGUGACAGGAAGUCAUGUCGAGGUUCACACAGAGGCCCGAUGAUGACAUCAGUGUGACACCGUGACGCCAGCGCUGUGGAUGAAGACGCCGGUGGUCUCCAGUAACGGCUGAGCGUUUCUCGUCCAGAUCUCCCCCACAGCGGCGCUGCAAUCAGCUCCGUCAUUAGGAUUCAGCUGCGGCCUCCUCUGCCACUUUCAAUUGGCGCCAACAUGGCAGCGGAGUAGUAAAUCAGGUCUGGUAGUUCAGCACAGAGACACGGACAGAAACCAAGCUACAGCUUGCCUGGAUAUGUGUAACCGACGCAAUUUUGGUGGCUUCCUGAUCUUUCUACAUGACUGAGUUAUUGAACACUACUAAGUAACGGCAAAAUUAGUGUAGUGAUUGCGCUCAGAACACCAUGUACAUACAUGAAUACAUGUGAUGUGACACAAGCUAUACUUACCAUCGUCUGAAUCACAUACGUCGACAAGAGUCAGCCCACAUUGCCGUCUUAGUGCCAGGCGUGAAUUAACAAUUAACCAACUGUUGUUUCAUAGCAACCGACACUCAUUAAGAAGUUCAUCAUUGGCUGCUAUAUUCAGCACACUACCCUUGGGGUGGGCGUACAUCUAGCGCAAACAUCUCUUAUGAAGAGAUAUAUAAAAACAUGAAGUGGAAACUAAUGUUGAAAGACUUGUCAAGACAUCACAUAACAGCUGGUCCCGGGAGAAGCUCUCGUUGCGGAGGUGACAGGUUGAUUUUUUUUUUUGUGUGUGUGUUUCAGAGCAUCUAUUUUUUACAAUUCGGCCCAAUUAGAUCAAGUCAGCGGAGUUUUAAAAUCUGCAAAUUAUCACAUGGGCAAAACUAUGAAGAAUGCAGAUGAGAAAUACAAGGUUUGUGCUCCUUGCAGGUGCAAAACUUACAAUGCUUGAAUAUCCUAGUUGGUUUCCAAAAAUGGUUGCUUCUGAAUGGUUUUUAGCAGAUAUUAAGUUGUUCUGGGCGGUUUCCAGGUGGCCUGAGUGUAAAAAAAAAACUGUGAUAUUCUGGUCUGUAGAUAUAGCUCGAAUUUCUCAUUCAGUGCACGUUGUUUGUUGUUUACGCUUGUUUUAUCGUCCGCCAGUGAAGAAUUGUGUAAGUUCACUCACUUAAAGGUGCAGUAAGCAAUUUCUGAGAAACACUGUUGAUAUUUGAAGUCACUAAAACAAACACGCCCCUACUCAAACGGAUCACACCCCUAUUUUGAUAGCUCCG